AGGACGAACGCUGGCGGCGCGCUUCAAGCAUGCAAGUCGAACGAGAUACCCGGGCUUGCCCGGGUGGAGAGUGGCGAACGGGUGAGUAACGCGUGAGGAACCUGCCCCGAAGACCGGGAUAACGCCGGGAAACUGGUGCUAAUACCGGAUGCCCUCGCCGGAUCGCAUGGUCUGGCGAGGAAAUGGAUUCCGCUUCGGGAUGGCCUCGCGGCCUAUCAGCUAGUUGGUGGGGUAACGGCCCACCAAGGCAGCGACGGGUAGCUGGUCUGAGAGGAUGUCCAGCCACACUGGGACUGAGACACGGCCCAGACUCCUACGGGAGGCAGCAGCUAGGAAUCUUGCGCAAUGGACGAAAGUCUGACGCAGCGACGCCGCGUGCGGGAUGAAGGCCUUAGGGUCGUAAACCGCUUUCAGCAGGGACGAAAUUGACGGUACCUGCAGAAGAAGCCCCGGCAACUACGUGCCAGCAGCCGCGGUAA
rnacentral:rRNA from 1 species